UCUCCGUAGGUGAACCUGCGGAAGGAUCAUUAUUGAAUAACCGAGGUGCGAGGGCUGUCGCUGACCCGCAAGGUUGUGCACGCACGAAUGCCCGCCCACACAUCCAUCCUACCUCUCUUUGCAGCACCGCGUGCGUCCCCCUUUACCAUAAUCCGAGUGGGGUUUCCGUUUUCACCCAAAAUUUAUUUACAGUAUAGAAUGUAUUUUUUGUUCUUUCUAUCUCCCAAUCACUACAACUUUCAACAACGGACCUCUUGGCUCUCGCAUCGAUGAAGAACC
rnacentral:misc_RNA from 1 species